rnacentral:rRNA from 1 species
GACGAACGCUGGCGGCGUGCUUAACACAUGCAAGUCGAGCGAGACCCAUCUUUCGGGGUGGUGUUCUAGCGGCGAACGGGUGAGUAACACGUGGGCAACCUGCCCUCAGCUCUGGGAUAACUCCAAGAAAUUGGGGCUAAUACCGGAUAUGACUGCUGACCGCAUGGUCUGGUGGUGGAAAGAUUUAUCGGCUGGGGAUGGGCCCGCGGCCUAUCAGCUUGUUGGUGGGGUAGGGCCCACCAAGGCGACGACGGGUAGCCGGCCUGAGAGGGUGACCGGCCACACUGGGACUGAGACACGGCCCAGACUCCUACGGGAGGCAGCAGUGGGGAAUAUUGCGCAAUGGGCGGAAGCCUGACGCAGCGACGCCGCGUGGGGAUGACGGCCU